rnacentral:rRNA from 1 species
CACGUAGGGCGCAAGCGUUGUCCGGAAUUAUUGGGCGUAAAGAGCUCGUAGGCGGUCUGUUGCGUCCGCUGUGAAAACUCGGGGCUUAACCCCGAGCCUGCAGUGGAUACGGGCAGACUAGAGGUAGGUAGGGGAGAAUGGAAUUCCCGGUGUAGCGGUGAAAUGCGCAGAUAUCGGGAGGAACACCGGUGGCGAAGGCGGCAUCCUGGACCGACAUUGACGCUGAGGCGCGAAAGCCAGGGGAGCAAACGGG